AUGAUUUUCUUCCUCACGUCAACACUGUCACCACCGAAGCGGACCGCACGCCGGACUGGAUUCGCGAGGACUACAUCGUCUGGUCAUGGCUCUACGGGUCAAUCUCUGACGAGAUCCUCGACAUCAUCAUGGCCGAGGACCAGACGGCGCAGGAGGCAUGGACGCUCAUCACCAACCUCUUCCUUGACAAUCAGAUGA
rnacentral:rRNA from 1 species